UACGUAGGGGGCAAGCGUUGUCCGGAUUUAUUGGGCGUAAAGAGCGUGUAGGCGGCUAGAUAGGUCCGUUGUGAAAACUCGAGGCUCAACCUCGAGACGUCGAUGGAAACCAUCUGGCUAGAGUCCGGAAGAGGAGAGUGGAAUUCCUGGUGUAGCGGUGAAAUGCGCAGAUAUCAGGAGGAACACCUGCGGCGAAGGCGGGUUGCUGGGCUGAUACUGACGCUGAGGCGCGAAAGCCAGGGGAGCGAACGGG
rnacentral:rRNA from 1 species